CAGUAAGUUCUCUGGAGACAAUUUUUGGUUCACUUAAACACAGCUGUGAGAACGCAGACUUUGCUCAGGUACGAGCCACGCGAGCUCUUACACACCUUAGGACACACCUGAAACACAGGGCACCUGCUCCCACCGACUCACCCGUCUCCCUUUCUCUGUGCCUUCCUGCCCGCCC